AGAAGAAGCGACGGCUAAAUACGUGCCAGCAGCCGCGGUAAUACGUAUGUCGCGAGCGUUAUCCGGAAUUAUUGGGCAUAAAGGGCAUCUAGGCGGCCUUUCAAGUCAGGGGUGAAAACCUGCGGCUCAACCGCAGGCCUGCCUUUGAAACUGUAAGGCUGGAGUACCGGAGAGGUGGACGGAACUGCACGAGUAGAGGUGAAAUUCGUAGAUAUGUGCAGGAAUGCCGAUGAUGAAGAUAGUUCACUGGACGGUAACUGACGCUGAAGUGCGAAAGCUAGGGGAGCAAACAGGAUUAGAUACCCUGGUAGUCCUAGCUGUAAACGAUGAUUACUGGGUGUGGGCAUGAAGAGUGUCCGUGCCGAAGCUAAUGCGAUAAGUAAUCCGCCUGGGGAGUACGGCCGCAAGGCUGAAACUCAAAGGAAUUGACGGGGACCCGCACAAGCGGUGGAGCAUGUGGUUUAAUUCGACGCAACGCGAGGAACCUUACCAGAUCUUGACAUCCUGCGAAGGCCUGCGAGAGCGGGCUGUGCCUCCGGGAACGCAGAGACAGGUGGUGCAUGGCUGUCGACAGCUCGUGUCGUGAGAUGUUGGGUUAAGUCCCGCAACGAGCGCAACCCCUAUCGCUAGUUGCCAUCAUCAAGUUGGGGACUCUAGCGAGACUGCCUGCGAAGAGCAGGAGGAAGGUGGGGAUGACGUCAAGUCAUCAUGCCCCUUAUGAUCUGGGCUACACACGUGCUACAAUGGCUGGUACAGAGAGAUGCGACGCAGCAAUGCCAAGCCAACCUCUAAAGCCAGUCCAAGUUCGGAUUGAAGCCUGCAACUCGGCUUCAUGAAGUUGGAAUCGCUAGUAAUCGCGGAUCAGCAAUGCCGCGGUGAAUACGUUCUCGGGUCUUGUACACACCGCCCGUCACACCACGAGAGUUGUCUGCACCUGAAGCUGCCGGUCCAACCGCAAGGGGGAAGGCAUCUAAGGUGUGGAUAGUGAUUGGGGUGAAGUCGUAACAAGGUAUCCGUACCGGAAGGUGCGGAUG
rnacentral:rRNA from 1 species